UAGCUCAGUCAGUAGAGCAUGAGACUCUUAAUCUCAGGGUUGUGGGUCCAUGCCCCAC
rnacentral:tRNA from 1 species